rnacentral:lncRNA from 1 species
UUGGAUCAAAACCCUGGUCAUUGUCUAUUUAAAAAGGGCUUCAAUUGUUGACACCAUAUGGGAAUUUCCUCUUGCUGCUUUUUAUUUUUCUAGAGCUCCUCUCCUCUCUUCCCCUCUAGAUCCCCUCUUCGUUUGGAGCAUCCAAAGCUUUUGAAGAAGAAAAAAGAAAUCAGCCUUUAAAAUCCUUGCAAGCUAGCACUUCCAAGGAGCUUGAUCUGCACUAGUUUUCGUGUGGACGAUUUGUAAAGGCCGAAUGACUUCAUGUGGCUACAAGCAACC